rnacentral:misc_RNA from 1 species
AUGGGACGGCCCGCUGGGCUGUUCCCGCCCCUAUGCCCUUUUUUGGGUUUCCGGCCAGAGGCAUGCUGGGAGCGUCACAUGCAAAUUGAGCGUGCACCCAGCGUUCCGCCCUUUCUACGCUGGGCCGGUUAUCGACCCGGCCCAGUGCGCAGGCGCGGGAAAGUUGAACUAAUAAAGUUUGUACGAGUUCAGUGGAGGAGACCGCAAGUUGAGUGGAGGAGGCGGCGGUGGGGCCCCGGACCAGGUCAGCGGGGUGUUGACGAGGGGUGGGGUGAGGAGGGAAGAGGAGGGGGCCGGGAUCCAGUGGUGGGCACCCCAGUCCCGCUUCUCUGAUAUCCAAGGGUCCAGGGUCCUCUAGAUUCCAGCAGGGGUCGGAGAUUUGGAACUACACCUCACAGCAGGCUGCGCGGCGAAGAAGCGCGGACCUAGGGGAAGAUUUGCCCUGAAACCUCUUGGGAUUGGUAGUUCCCGAUGCUUUAAGGGUUUCAGGAGUUUGGCAUAUGCCUCUUAUAGAAUCCAGGAGUUGGGGCGCUAAGCCUCUUCUUCCUGGGAGACCUAAGGGUCUGGGGCUCCAGUUCCUUUUUCUCUAAGACUCAGAAGUCCAGGACCCCAGCUCCCUCCUCCUUUAGACCCACGAAUCUGGGCACCCAGCCCCACCACCUUUCCUUGGAUCGAAGAGUCUUUUUCCUGAUCGCUUUUUCGUCUGAGGACUCAAGAGUCUAGGCCCCCAGACCCACACUCUCCAAAGGACCCAGGAGUCCAGGCCCUCAGCACCUUCCUUGGGACUCACAAGUCCUGGUCCCCAAGCCUCCACUUCUUGCUAAACCCUUGGAGUCCAGUCCCUAACCCUCUCUCUCACAGGUGCCUCCAUGGCAGGCUCUGAAGAGCUGGGGCUCCGGGAAGACACGCUGAGGGUCCUAGCUGCCUUCCUUAGGCGUGGUGAGGCUGCCGGGUCUCCUGUUCCAACUCCACCUAGCCCUGCCCAAGAAGAGCCAACAGACUUCCUGAGCCGCCUUCGAAGAUGUCUUCCCUGCUCCCUGGGGCGAGGAGCAGCCCCCUCUGAGUCCCCUCGGCCUUGCUCUCUGCCCAUCCGCCCCUGCUAUGGUUUAGAGCCUGGUAAGAGAUUUCCAUGAUCAUCUAUGAAGCCGGCAGAACACGGGAUAAGGCCCAGCUACUCCAGACUUCUAUGCUUUGGUGGCCCAGCGGCUGGAACAGCUGGUCCAAGAGCAGCUGAAAUCUCCGCCCAGCCCAGGAGGGCAUCCUGGCUGUUUCACCCGUGGACUUGAACUUGCCAUUGGACUGAGCUCUUUCUCAGAAGCUGCUACAAGAUGACACCUCAUGUCCCUGCCCUCUUCGUGUGCUUUUCCAAGUCUUCCUAUUCCACUCAGGGCUGUGGGGUGGUGGUUGCCCUACCUGUUUUUGCCAAAAAUAAAUUGUUUAAAACUUUUCUUAUUAAAAACGUUACAAAGUA